rnacentral:tRNA from 1 species
GCCUGGCUGGCUCAGUUGGAAGAGCAUAUGGCUCUUGAUCUUGAUGUCAUGAGUUCACAACCCAUGUGGGGUG